GCAGAUCGUGGACAGGUGGGCGAGUGAAAACUGAUGGUGCAAGUGAGUAUCGGAAGACCUGGGGUUAACGGUGGCGUAGGCGGCCUUCUAAGAUGAACGUGAAAUCCCCGGGCUCAAGCCUGGAACUGCGUCCAAUACGGGAAGGCUUGAAUCCGGGAUAGGGAUGUGGAAGUCCAGGUGUAGCGGUGAAAUGCGUAGAGAUCUGGAGGAACACCGGUGGCGAAGGCGACAUCCUGGACCGGUAUUGACGCUGAGGCGCGAAAGCCAGGGGAGCAAACGGGAUUUGAUACCCGAGUAGUC
rnacentral:rRNA from 1 species